UGUGGUGUGUUCUAGCAAUUCUA
rnacentral:siRNA from 1 species